UACGGGGGGGGCAAGCGUUGUUCGGAAUUACUGGGCGUAAAGGGCGUGUAGGCGGCUAACUAAGUCCGACGUGAAAUCCCCAGGCUUAACCUGGGAACUGCGUCGGAUACUGGAUGGCUUGAAUCCGGGAGAGGGAUGCGGAAUUCCAGGUGUAGCGGUGAAAUGCGUAGAUAUCUGGAGGAACACCGGUGGCGAAGGCGGCAUCCUGGACCGGCAUUGACGCUAAAGCGCGAAAGCCAGGGGAGCAAACGGG
rnacentral:rRNA from 1 species